rnacentral:rRNA from 1 species
GUAUGCUAAGUACACCUUCCGGUACACUUACCUUGUUACGACUUACCUCGUCUUCAGCUGUUUGUCAUAUUAGUUAAUGUAUUUUGGGGCUUGUGAGGAGGGUGACGGGCGGUGUGUACGUGCCCUAGGACCGGUUUAAAGAAGGCUUGAUUGUCCUGCUUUACUGCUAAAUCCACCUUCUAGAGGCAAAUUUCAAGCCUCUUUUCGUUGGUUUAUUCUAUUUUAGAAAAUGUAGCCCAUUUCUUCCACUUCAUGGGCUAUACCUUGACCUGUCUUGUUAGCGGGGUGUGGGCUGUUGUGUCCACUGCUGCUCUCUCAUGGAGGUGGGCUGGCGACGGCGGUAUGUAGGCUGAUUUUGGCUAGAAGUGGUUGGGUGGAUCGUGGGUUGUCGAUUAUAGAACAGGCUCCUCUAGGUGGGUUUAGGGCACCGCCAAGUCCUUAGAGUUUUAAGCGUUUGUGCUCGUAGUUCUCGGGCGGAUGUUUAUGUUUGGUAAACAUCAAGAUUUAGGGCCAGGCAUAGUGGGGUAUCUAAUCCCAGUUUGUACCCUGGCUUUCGUGGGGUGGGAUUUAUCAUGGGUGCUAAGGUCGUUUUUAGGUUGAGUUUCAUAGUUCCUUAGGCUUGUGACGGCUUAGGUUAGGGUUUAGCCUUAGUUUGUUGUGACAAUCUAUGGCCACUCUUUACGCCGCGUACGGUUAAUUUGGGUUUCUUGUAUGACCGCGGUGGCUGGCACAAGAUUUACCAACCCUAGUUGCUUUAACUAAGUCAGGUUUUCACCUAUUGCUUAAUGUUAACUACUGCUGAAUGCCCGUGGGGGUGUGGCGGGGCUGGGCGUCUUGGGCUACGGUGGGUGUGCCUGAUGCCCGCUCCUUGCGCCUUGGUAAGGGGUCGGGGGCGUUUGCACUGGAGUGCGGAUACUUGCAUGUAUAUGUUAAGCAAAAAUUAACGGUAAGGUUAGGACUAAGUCUUUU